AAAGCUUAGGCAAUGUACUUUGUACAUUGGGUAGGGGAGCGUUGUAUACGCGGCGAAACAGUAGCGCAAGCGGCUGUGGAGUGUAUAGAAGUGAGAAUGCCGGAAUGAGUAGCGCGAAUGCAGUGAGAAUCUGCAUGGCCGAAAGCCUCAGGUUUUUGGAGGAAGGUUCGUCCGCUCCAAGCUAGUCGGGAGCUAAGGUGAGGCCGAGAGGCGUAGCCGAUGCACAGACGGUAGAGAUUCCGUCACCACCAAAAGAGUUAAGCACAGGGACACAUUUGAAGUCUCAGAGCCGGGUGUUGGUUCCGGUAGAGAUCGAGGGAAGUUAGUACCGAAGUCUGAGAUGGAAGAUGGCGAGAAAAGCUGUGUGGAUUUCUGAGGUGCCCGUACCGCAAACCGACACAGGUAGGUAGGAAGAGGAUUCUAAGGCCAACGGGAGAAGGGUUGUUAAGGAACUCGGCAAAUUGACCCCGUAACUUCGGGAGAAGGGGUGCUCCAGAGAUGGAGCCGCAGAGAAUCGGCCCAAGCAACUGUUUACCAAAAACACAGGUUUGUGCUAAAUCGAAAGAUGACGUAUACGAGCUGACGCCUGCCCGGUGCUGGAAGGUUAAGAGGAGAUGUGCAAGCAUUGAAUCGAAGCCCCAGUGAACGGCGGCCGUAACUACAACGGUCCUAAGGUAGCGAAAUUCCUUGUCAGGUAAGUUCUGACCCGCAUGAAAGGCGUAAUGAUUUGGGCACUGUCUCAACAGCCCGCCCGGCGAAAUUGUAGUACCGGUGAAGAUGCCGGUUACCCGCGACAAGACGGAAAGACCCCAUGGAGCUUUACUGUAGCCUAAUAUUGGGUUUCGAUGUUGCAUGCACAGGAUAGAUGGGACUCUGGGAAACCAGUGCUUUGGCGCUGGCGGAGAGGCCGUUGGGAUACCAUCCUUGCGAUAUUGGAAUUCUAACCUGCGGCUCUGAAUCGAGUCGGGGGACAUUGUUAGGUGGGCAGUUUGACUGGGGCGGUCGCCUCCUAAAAAGUAACGGAGGCGUUCAAAGGUUCGCUCAGCUUGAACGGAAAUCAAGCAAAAGAGUGCAAACGCAGAAGCGAGCCUAACUGCGAGACUGACGGGUCGAGCAGUAACGAAAGUUGGAGUUAGUGAUCCGGUGGUAUGUGAGUGGAAAUGCCAUCGCUCAACGGAUAAAAGUUACCCUGGGGAUAACAGGCUGAUCUCCCCCAAGAGUCCACAUCGACGGGGAGGUUUGGCACCUCGAUGUCGGCUCAUCGCAUCCUGGGGCUGUAUUCGGUCCCAAGGGUUUGGCUGUUCGCCAAUUAAAGCGGUACGCGAGCUGGGUUCAGAACGUCGUGAGACAGUUCGGUCCCUAUCUGUCGUGGGCGCAGGAUAUUUGAUGGGAGCUGUCCCUAGUACGAGAGGACCGGGACGGACGUACCUCUGGCGCACCAGUUGUUCUGCCAAGAGCAUAGCUGGGCAACUACGUACGGAUCGGAUAAACGCUGAAAGCAUCUAAGCGUGAAGCCGACCCAAAGAUAAGAUAUCCCACUGUUUCAAACAGGUAAGAUCCCUUGAAGACUACAAGGUUGAUAGGCACGAUGUGUAAGUGGAGUGAUCCAUUCAGCAAGCGUGUACUAAUAGAUCGAGGGCUUGACU
rnacentral:rRNA from 1 species